GAUGAACGCUGGCGGCGUGCCUAAUACAUGCAAGUCGAGCGAACGGACGAGGAGCUUGCUUCUCUGAUGUUAGCGGCGGACGGGUGAGUAACACGUGGAUAACCUACCUAUAAGACUGGGAUAACUUCGGGAAACCGGAGCUAAUACCGGAUAAUAUUUUGAACCGCAUGGUUCAAAAGUGAAAGACGGUCUUGCUGUCACUUAUAGAUGGAUCCGCGCCGCAUUAGCUAGUUGGUAAGGUAACGGCUUACCAAGGCAACGAUGCAUAGCCGACCUGAGAGGGUGAUCGGCCACACUGGAACUGAGACACGGUCCAGACUCCUACGGGAGGCAGCAGUAGGGAAUCUUCCGCAAUGGGCGAAAGCCUGACGGAGCAACGCCGCGUGAGUGAUGAAGGUCUUCGGAUCGUAAAACUCUGUUAUUAGGGAAGAACAUAUGUGUAAGUAACUGUGCACAUCUUGACGGUACCUAAUCAGAAAGCCACGGCUAACUACGUG
rnacentral:rRNA from 1 species